rnacentral:lncRNA from 10 species
AGUCUUCUAGCCUUCGCUGAUGGGUUCUGCAUAUGAGUUCAGGCAUGCCUUCAGGACUCCACCAGGCACUUGGAGGGAAAUUUGGACAUGGACACAUAGGGAAGACAGCCAUGUGGAGACAGAGGCAGAGGUGGACCUGCUGCCGCAAAACCACAGGGCGCCAAGUACUGUGGGCCACUGAGAAAACUAAAGGAGAGGAAGGAUUCUUCCCUGGAGCUUUGGAGAGGGUAAUGAACUGUAACCUCACUGGACGUGUAAACAGACUGUGACCUACCUACUCUUGUGCCAAUCAUGGAGUUUCAGCCAAUCACAGGCGGCCGGCUGUUCAAACCAUGUUUAAAUAAGGCAAACGCAGAGCUGUAAGCAAUCUAGGUGUUUCUGCACCUCUCGUCCAUUUUCUGUAAGUCCUUUUUCUGUUCAUAAAUCUUCUUCCAUCACGUGGCUGUGCUGGAGUCUUUGAACCUACCCUGCCUCGGGAGGCUGCCCCAAUCAGCAAUUUGUUCUUUGCUCAAUUAAACUCUAUUAAUUUAAUUUGCCUAAAAAUUUUUUAACAAUGUUUACUAGUAAAUUUCAUUUUUUCUUGCAAAAAAGAAAAAAUCCUGAAAACAGGAGUAGGGAAAGAUUGAUGGCUAAAAUUAAAUAUGGUUAACUUUAAUAUUUUAACUUAUCACAAGAAAAUUGCAUUGCUUUGGACUAUAAAAGUGAUACAUAAAUCUUUCACUUCAGUAGCGCCAUCACCAUCAUCAAAUAUUUAAAAACUUACAUAUGAAAAGAAAUAUGGUGGGGAGGGAAGUAGACAGAAACAGUUAAGAAACUAGGACAUAAUAAGACAGCAAAAUUCCUGUUGGUUUAUUUUUUGCUUGUUUCCUUGCUUAGUAUUCUCUGAUAGCCAAAGAAUAGACGAAAUAUUCUAAGAGCCAACGAAUAGACAAAAUUGGGCAGCUGCUUCUGGAAUACAAAGGUACAAAUCCUUAGAAAGUUCUUCUGAGCAGAUAAUCUUCCCAGAGCCUUGACACAAAUGUGAUCAUUAGAAUUUUAUUUCUCUGGGUUAAAAGUAACCUCAGGGAAGACAGCACUGUUGAGAGGCAUUUACAUCACUGAAAAUUAUUUUGGCAUAACAUUUUAAAUAUAAAAACCAGCUUGGAAAAUGAGAGACGCUGGAAAAUGCAAAAGCCUGUGUACAUGGGGCCUAUGCUUUAGGUUGGAGAGCCAGGACCCCGGGCGAGAGAGAACAAGCUAAAUGACCUGAGUUAAGUGACUUGGUCACUGCUGCAAACUUUGCUUCCUCAUCCAUUAAUUGAAGAUAACAAAAGUAAGAACCUAUCGCACAGGAUGGCAGGGAGGACUAAAUUAGCACGACAAUGACCAUCAGAAAAUAUGUGCUCAUUACACAUUAACCAUUUCUCUUCCUCUCGUUCCUCUCCUUUACUUCUUCUACCAGCAUCACCUCCAUUGCCACUUCACAACCUCACUACCCCAUUGCUAAUUUUGUCUUAAGGCAUGCUAGAGGUUUAAAUAAUAAUCAAGUAUACUGCUUUUCACUUAUCAUUAGCAAAAGCUUUUGAACAAGCCUAUGAACAAGAAGAAGCUACGUUCUCCCAAAGGUUUUUUUUUUUUUUUUGAGACCGAGUCUCGCUCUGUCACCCAGGCUGGAGUGCAGUGGCGCUAUCUCGGCUCACUGCAAGCUCCGCCUCCCGGGUUCACACCAUUCUCCUGCCUCAGCCUCCGGAGCAGCUGGGACUACAGGCUCCCGCCAUCACGCCCGGCUAAUUUUUUGUAUUUUUAGUAAAGACGGAGUUUCACCGUGUUAGCCAGGAUGGUCUCGAUCUCAUGACCUUGUGAUCCGCCCGCCUCGGCCUCCCAAAGUGCUGGGAUUACAGGCGUGAGCCACCGCUCCCGGCACCAAAUGUUUUUCUGAUGAGAUCAAAGUUAUCUCAAAACAGUAUGUGACUUUUUAGUGUAUGUGCUCCCCCAAAGCAUCUGAACUAAAAAACCUGAGUGUUUCUUCUUUUCAGGUCUGAGUUUAAGAGUCAGGUAAAUACAUCUUGUUAAAUAUUUCUAAAUUAUUUUCUCUUGUAUGAUUUUCCUUUAGAAAUUGAAUUCUCUCUUUUCUUUGGGUUUUGCUGAAAGGUUCAUCGAUCAUUCAAAUAAAUUUCACAAAAAUAUUAGGAGUAGGUACAAUGGCUAUAAUGCAUAGUUAACAGAGAGAUCAUUAUGUCUGCCUCUGAGGACCUGGGUGUGGCCUCUGAUUUCCCUGGACAGUGUUUUGGGCUUCCAAUGAGAAAGUCUCUCAAAGAAGGACACUCUGCAAGUCACGGCCCUAGGGCCGGCCAUCACCUAACGUCUUCAGAUAAAUUGUUUGUUUAUGGAUUCAAAAGCAAGACAGUUAAUGAAUGUCAUCAUUCAGUUUUCAGUUUGAAUAUUGUAUUUUUUAUUUAUUCAGAACCUAGCAUAUAAUAUUUACACAGGAUAAUAUAUUUUUUAUAAAUUUUAUUUAUAUAUUUACUAUAUACUGAUUAUGUGCUGUGCUAUUUGUGAUAGAAGGAUCCCAAAUGAAUGCAAUGUUGGCUUUUAUCCACAAAACACUAUCAUGAUAUACACGUAAAAUAUACAUGUGAAAAUAACAACAUUAUAAAAUAAUAAACCGUAUUUAAGAAGCAGAAUAUUAUAAACUUCAGCAGAAGUACAGAAGUGUAUAUAAUAUGUUAUUUCUACAUUUCAUUCCCAGAAUAUUUCUUAAAAUACAUUCUAUUUUAAAGGUAAGGGAACUAAAUAUUUAAGUGCAAAAAGAAAUAGAAAACCAUUGUAAAUAUAUAGCUAACUCAGGCCAAAAAUGUCUGUUUUACUAGUUCUUUUAAAUGAUAGGUUAGUCACAAGAAAUAAGCAUCAGAUGAACUGAAUCAGUUUCUCAUUAUUUUCUAUUCGACAGGUUAAUUUCAGGUUUAUACAUAAGAUGAGCAACUUACCAAGUGCUUCUAAUUCUACUUGAUAAAAUGAUACUCCCUAAGCCACCUUGACUGGGUGUGAAAGAGGGCAAAUAAAGGCUUAAAUACAAUAUAUCUUCCUGAUGAGAUAACUGCAGACCUAUUUGUGGGAGAAAAUUGCUGCACAUAAGCAUUUGUGUUUGUUUUAUAUUCACUUUAACUGUGAAGAGGGAAAUGAAGUUCGAGCGGAAGCCAUGAGACUCUAUUGUAACAGCUCAUGAAAAAUUACAGCUCAACAUCCAAACAUACAUCUGUCUGUGUCCCUAUGUGAAUUAAUACAGUAUUUUAAGGCCAACAACAAACACAAAUAACCAAUUCUAAAGCUAUGGGAACUACUUUCUGCUGAUAACUGCAAAAACACAGAAAUAAUAACAUAAGUCAUGGAAAACUAUGUAAGACCCAAAAAGAUAAUGGCUAGAUUAUUUCAACCAAGGCUUGCUUUGGUAUUCAUAGAAAUAAAUCUAAAGCAUCUGCUCUAAUGUAUCAUUAAACUUUUAUCAGAUCAUAGUCAGAAUGCAUGAGGAUUAAAACUCCUUUUAGCUGAAUAAAGCAUGCUAAGAUAUACAUCGUUCGUGUUAAGGUAGUAAUCAUCUCUUGGCUAAUGAGCUUCAAUGGACUGAUAGGCAUUAAGCCUGUUUUGAAUGCAAGCACUCAUAUCUUGACAACAAAAGGGGAAUAUUUUUAUCAUUUUGGAAAUGCAGUACAAGCAUGUAAAUAAAUAUGGGCCAUGUUAGCUUUUGUUCGAGUAAGGAAUUAAAUGUCUUCUGCUUACCAUUUAAUAUGAUCUUUGAGUUGUUGUUCAAAUGAGCUAGGUGGCUCUUAAGCAACUUCCCUGUGUGUUUUGUCGUGAAUGCCACUUAUUAUUAUACCCAUAAGCUUCUUUUUUACCAGGGAGUAUCCUCCUGUCAAAUGACCAGCACUUCCC